UAGGAAAUAGUAUAGUAGGAAGUACGGAGGGUUUUGAUCUCUUAAACAUAGGUUCAAGUCCUAUUUUUCUAG
rnacentral:tRNA from 1 species